rnacentral:rRNA from 1 species
AUGGUUACUGAGAAAGAGUUUGAGGAUGGUUGGGCAUGUAUAGUUGAGAAGCAUGGUCUACAGAGUAAUGUAUUUCUCACCCAAAUAUACGAGACCCGGAAGAAAUGGGCUAAGCCUUAGUUCAUGGACGUUUUUUGUGCCAAGAUGACCAGCACGCAACGGAGCAAAAGUGCAAACCAUUUGCUGAAAGGAUAUGUGCCACCUGGGUCCCUGAUGCACCUGUUCGAGAAGAUGCAAUUUGGUAGGGAUUCAGAGGAGAGCUACCAAGAGAAGAGAACCAAACUGGUAACAAUACGCUUUUUUUUGUGA